UACGGAGGGAGCUAGCGUUGUUCGGAAUUACUGGGCGUAAAGCGCGCGUAGGCGGCUUUGUAAGUUAGAGGUGAAAGCCCGGGGCUCAACCCCGGAACUGCCUUUAAGACUGCAUCGCUUGAAUCCGGGAGAGGUGAGUGGAAUUCCGAGUGUAGAGGUGAAAUUCGUAGAUAUUCGCAAGAACACCAGUGGCGAAGGCGGGUCUCUGGACAGUUCCUGACGCUGAGGCACGAAGGUCAGGGGAGCAAACGGG
rnacentral:rRNA from 1 species